rnacentral:lncRNA from 1 species
CCCAGCUGGAGCUUCAGACAUUCAGAUCAUAGAGAGACACAAGACGGAGAACAUCCUGGCUUUGUCAGAUGAAGCAGGAUAUUUCUUCUUCAAUGGGAACACGGUGUUUGACAAUCCUCAGAAUUUCCACGUGGCAGGAACAGUGUUCAAGUACCGACGUCCAAGCAUCGUGUUGUCUGAUGGGUUGGAGUACAUCAUUGCCCAGGGACCCACUCUGCAGGGUCUUAAUGUUAUGUACUACAACUUGAAUGGGAAACUCCCCCACAUCACCUACGAGUAUACCAUCCCACUCAAAUCUCGAGCCACCGCCGCUUCACACCACUCCAAUCUUAACUUCACCUAUAAUGACGUAAACGUGGAUGUCAGAGGGGAUCGGAGUAUCUCAAUGAACCACAGCAGAGGGUCAGCAUCUGUCCAUCACGAUGUUCAUGACCACCCAGAUGUCCAGCUGCAGGAAGAAGAAGAGGAGGAGGAGGAGGAAGUGGUAUGGGAGAUCCAGACCGCCAGCCCACCACCAGCACCAGUGGACAUUAUGGUCUACAGACCAGCUGAUGUCAUCACUCGUGUGUUUAGUCACAAUGAUGUGGAGGAACAGG